AUUGAACGCUGGCGGCAGGCCUAACACAUGCAAGUCGAGCGGAUGAAGGGAGCUUGCUCCUGGAUUCAGCGGCGGACGGGUGAGUAAUGCCUAGGAAGCUGCCUGGUAGUGGGGGAUAACGUCCGGAAACGGGCGCUAAUACCGCAUACGUCCUGAGGGAGAAAGUGGGGGAUCUUCGGACAUCAAGCUAUCAGCUGAGCCUAGGCUGCAUUAGCUAGUUGGUGGGGUAAAGGCUUACCAAGGCGACGAUCCGUAACUGGUCUGAGAGGAUGAUCUGCCACACUGGAACUGAGACACGGUCCAGACUCCUACGGGAGGCAGCAGUGGGGAAUAUUGGACAAUGGGCGAAAGCCUGAUCCAGCCAUGCCGCGUGUGUGAAGAAGGUCUUCGGAUUGUAAAGCACUUUAAUUUGGGAGGAAGGGCAGUAAGUUAAUACCUUGCUGUUUUGACGUUACCAACAGAAUAAGCACCGGCUAACUUCGUG
rnacentral:rRNA from 1 species